AUGCGCCUGCAAAGGAUAAAGCAAAUGGAAGAAAAAUGUUUUGCAGGCAACAUCCAUUUGUAUAAUCUUGUAACCUCUUACAGAGGUGUUAAACCUUUUUU
rnacentral:sRNA from 1 species